rnacentral:hammerhead_ribozyme from 1 species
AUCCAACUGACGAGUCCCAGAUAGGACAAAAUGCGUGUAUUGGAU